CCUACGGGGGGCAGCAGUGGGGAAUAUUGCACAAUGGGGGAAACCCUGAUGCAGCGACGCCGCGUGAGUGAAGAAGUAAUUCGUUAUGUAAAGCUCUAUCAGCAGGGAAGAAAAUGACGGUACCUGAGUAAGAAGCCCCGGCUAACUACGUGCCAGCAGCCGCGGUAAUACGUAGGGGGCAAGCGUUAUCCGGAUUUACUGGGUGUAAAGGGAGCGUAGACGGCAGUGCAAGUCUGGAGUGAAAGGCGGGGGCUCAACCCCCGGACUGCUCUGGAAACUGUACGGCUGGAGUGCAGGAGAGGUAAGUGGAAUUCCUAGUGUAGGAGUGAAAUCCGUAGAUAUUAGAAGGAACACCAAUAGCGUAGGCAGGUUGCUGGGACGGUUCUGACACUAAGGCACGAAAGCGUAGGGAGCAAACGGGAUUAGAUACCCUGGUAGUC
rnacentral:rRNA from 1 species